GGGGUGUGAAGGAGAGGGGAGUGCACAGGGGUACAUGACAGCAGGGUGUGAAGGAGAUGGGGCUGCACAGGGGUACAUGUAGGCAGGGUGUGAAGGAGAGGAGGCU